UCCUGUUGUAAUCCAGGAAC
rnacentral:snRNA from 1 species